rnacentral:rRNA from 1 species
GAUGAACGCUAGCUACAGGCUUAACACAUGCAAGUCGAGGGGCAGCAUUCCAGUUUGCUUGCAAACUGGAGAUGGCGACCGGCGCACGGGUGAGUAACACGUAUCCAACCUGCCGAUAACUCGGGGAUAGCCUUUCGAAAGAAAGAUUAAUGCCCGAUGGCAUAAUAGAACCGCAUGGUUUGAUUAUUAAAGAAUUUCGGUUAUCGAUGGGGAUGCGUUCCAUUAGGCAGUUGGUGGGGUAACGGCCCACCAAACCUUCGAUGGAUAGGGGUUCUGAGAGGAAGGUCCCCCACAUUGGAACUGAGACACGGUCCAAACUCCUACGGGAGGCAGCAGUGAGGAAUAUUGGUCAAUGGACGAGAGUCUGAACCAGCCAAGUAGCGUGAAGGAUGACUGCCCUAUGGGUUGUAAACUUCUUUUAUAUGGGAAUAAAGUGGUCCACGUGUGGAUUUUUGUAUGUACCAUAUGAAUAAGGAUCGGCUAACUCCGUGCCAGCAGCCGCGGUAAUACGGAGGAUCCGAGCGUUAUCCGGAUUUAUUGGGUUUAAAGGGAGCGUAGGUGGACAGUUAAGUCAGUUGUGAAAGUUUGCGGCUCAACCGUAAAAUUGCAGUUGAUACUGGCUGUCUUGAGUACAGUAGAGGUGGGCGGAAUUCGUGGUGUAGCGGUGAAAUGCUUAGAUAUCACGAAGAACUCCAAUUGCGAAGGCAGCUCACUGGACUGCAACUGACACUGAUG